UUAUUAAGAAACAAAACGGACGGAUAGAACCCUAGGACAAAUGGCGGAAGCAAAGCUAUACAGACAAAAUCUCACACAUAAGCAUACCACAUACACACUCACAAAAAUAGGAAAAUGGGAAAAAAUCAUAAAUCUUGCUCUCAAAGUCCACCUCCUCAAUUUGGGAUGAUUCGUUGUCUAUUCAUGUAUUCCACAGAUGCAGUGUACAUCAAGUUGAUGUGGAGCUUUAAUCCACUGCUUCUGAGGCUACUGGGAGAGAUUUCCCUUUCUCUUCUUUGUUUGCACAGCUCCCAGGGUUCAGCUUUGGAUUUGGCCCCGCUUCUGGGUGUAGGUUGCCGGAGGGCAUCUGUUCUUCGGUCAGAUAGGACGGGGUUAAAGGAGCAGCUGCUUCGGGGAGUCUGGUUCACUUAGGCCGGGGGAGGGAGGGGCACGGACUGUGGGCGAGCCUCCGGCGGCAGAGGCCGGCAUGACGCUGCACCAGCCUGAGGCACGUCGUGCGUUCUCCCGGGGAAGUUGUCCCUGGAUCCCGGGACCCUGGCAGUGGCGGGCUGCACAGGCUCCCCGGAAGGGGGGUGUGGAUAGUGAUCUGUGCUCGCACACAGGCUUCUUGGUGGCGACAGCAGCAGACUUAGCGUCUCAUGCCCGUCUCUGGGGUCCGCGCUUUUAGCCGGAGCUCCUUUAAGCAGAGCUCUUUACCCCCUCUCCUCGCGCACCAGGAACCAAAGAGGGAAGAAAAAGUCUCUUGCCUCUUCGGCAGGUCCACACUUUUCCCUGGACUCCCUCCCGGCUAAACGUGGUGCACUAACCCUCUGCAGGCUGUGUUCACGCCGCCAAACCCAGUCCUCUCCCAGCGCUCCGACCUAAGCCCGAGCCUCAACUCCCAGUCCCGCCCGCCCCGGCGGGUGAGCAGACAAGCCUCUCGGGCUGGUGAGUGCUGGUUGGCACCGAUCCUCUGUGCGGAAUCUCUCUGCUUUGCCCUCCGCACCCCUGUUGCUGUGCUCUCCCCCGCAGCUCCGAAGCUUCCCCCUCUGCCACCCGCAGUCUCCGCCCGCGAAGGGGCUUCCUAGUGUGUGGAAACCUUUCCUCCUUCACAGCUCCCUCCCACUGGUGCAGGUCCCGUCCCUAUCCUUUUGUCUCUGUUUAUUCUUUUUUCUUUUGCCCUACCCAGGUACGUGGGGAGUUUCUUGCCUUUUGGGAGGUCUGAGGUCUUCUGCCAGCGUUCAGUAGGUGUUCUGUAGGAGUUGUUCCACAUGUAGGUGUAUUUGUGGUGUAUCUGUGGGGAGGAAGGUGAUCUCCGCGUCUCACUCCUCUGCCAUCUUCCCCUCGUCCCCUGUCUUUUCAUUUUGUUUAUGGUUUCCUUUGCUGUGCAGAAGCUUUUACGUUUAAUUAGAUCCCAUUUAUUUUUUUAUUUUUUUAUUUUCAGUAGGAGGUGGAUCCAAAAAGUAUUGCUGUGAUUUAUGUCAAAGAGUGUUCUGCCUUUGUUUUCCUCUAAGAGUUUUAUAGUGUCCAGCCUUACAUUUAGGUCUUUGAUCCAUUUUGAAUUUAUUUUUGUGUAUGGUAUUAGAGAAUGUUCUAAUUUCAUUCUUUUACACGUAGCUGUCCGGUGUUCCCAGCAUCGCUUAUUGAAGAGGCUGUCUUCUCUCCAUUGUAUAUUCUUGCCUCCUUGGUCAUAGAUUAGUUGACCAUAGGUGCAUGGGUUUAUUUCUGGGCUUUGUAUCCUGUUCCAUUGAGCUAUAUUUCUGUUUUUGUGCCAGUACCAUACUGUUUUGAUGACUGUAGCUUUGUAGUAGUCUGAAGUCUGGGAGCCUGAUUCCUCCAGUUCCAUUUUUCUUUCUCAGGAUUGCUUUGGCUAUUGGGGGUCUUUUGUGUCUCCAUACAAAUUUAAAAAAUUUUUGUUCUAGUUCUGUGAAAAGUGCCAUUGGUAAUUUGAUAGGGAUUGUGUUGAAUCUAUAGAUUGCCUUGGGUAGUAUAGUCAUUUUGACAAUAUUGAUUCUUCCAAUGCAAGAACAUGGUGUAUCUUUCCAUGUGUUUGUGUCAUCUUCGAUUUCUUUCAUUAGUGUCUUAUUGUUUUCAGAGUAUAGGCAGGUCUCUUGUUUCCUUAGGUAGAUUUAUUCCUAGGUGUUUUAUUCUUUUUGAUGUGAUGGUAAAUGGGAUUGUUUCCUUAAUUUCUCUUUUUGGAUCUUUUGUUGUUAGCAUAUAGAAAUGCAACAGAUUUCUGUGUAUUAAUUUUCUUUCUUUUUUAAAAUAAAUUUAUUUAUUUAUUAUUGGGUCUUUGUUGCUGCACGUGGGCUUUCUCUAGUUGUGGCGAGUGGGGGCUACUCUUCGUUGCAGUGCACGUGCUUCUCAUUGUGAUGGCUUCUCUUGUUGUGGAGCAUGGGCUGUAGGCGCGUGGGCUUCAGUAAUUGUGGCACGAGGGCUCAGUAGUUGUGGCUCGCAGGCUGUAGAGUGCAGGCUCAGUAGUUGUGGCCCACGGACUUAGUUCCUCCACGGCAUGUGGGAUUUUCCUGGACCAGGGAUCGAACUCAUGUUCCCUGCAUUGGCAGGUGGAUUUUCACCCACUGCACCACCAGGGAAGUCCUGUAUUAAUUUUCUAUCCUGCAACUUUACCGAAUUCAUUGAUAAGCUCUAGUAGUUUUCUCAUAGCAUCUUUAGGAUUUUCUAUGUAUAGUAUCAUGUCAUCUGCAAACAGUGACAGUUUUAUUUCUUCUUUUCCACUUUGGAUUCCUUUUCUUUUUCUUCUCUGAUUGCUGUGGUUAGGACUUCCAAAACUACAUUGAAUAAAAGUGGUGAGAGGGGACAUCUUGUCUAGUUCCUGAUCUUAGAGGGAAUGCUUUCAUCUUUUCACUAUUGAGAAUGAUGUUAGCUGUGGGUUUGCCGUAUAUGGCCUUUAUUAUGUUGAGGUAUGUUCCCUCUAUGCCUACUUUCUGGAGAGGUUUUUUUUUUAAUCAUAAAUGGGUGUUGAACUUUGUCAAAGCUUUUUCUGAAUCUAUUGGGAUGAUCAUAUGGUUUUUAUUCUUCAGUUUUAUAAUGUGGUGUAUCACACUGAUUGAUUAGCAGAUAUUGAAGAAUCUGGGCAUCCCUGGGAUAAAUCCCACUUGAUCAUGGUGUAUGAUCCUUUUCAUGUAUUGUUGGAUUUGGUUUGCUUGUAUUUUGUUGAGUAUUUCUGCAUCUAUGUUCAUCGGUAAUAUUGGCCUGUAAUUUUCUUUUUUGUGGUAUCUUUGGUUUUGGUAUCAGGGUGAUGGUGGCCUCAUAGAAUGAGUUUGGGAGUGUUCCUUUUUCUGCAGUUUUUUGGAUUAGUUUCAGAAGGAUAGGUGUUAACUCUUCUCUAAAUGUUUGAUAGAAUUUGCUUAUGAAGCCAUCUGGUCCUGGACUUUUGUUUGUUUGGAGUUUUUAAAUCACAGUUUCAAUUUCAGUACUUGUGAUUGGUCUGUUCAUAUUUUGUAUUUCUUCCUGGUUCAGUCUGGGAGAUUGUACCUUUCUAAGAAUUUGUCCAUUUCUUCUAGGUUGCCCAUUUUAUUGGCAUAUAGUUGCUUGUAGUAGUCUCUUAUGAUCCUUUGUAUUUCUGUGGUGUUGGUUGUAACUUCUUCUUUUGCAUUUCUAAUUUUAUUGAUUUGAGCCCUAUUCCUUUUUUUCUUGAUGAGUCUGGCUAAAGGUUUAUCAAUUAUGUUUAUCUUUUCAAAGAACCAGCUUUUAGUUUCAUUGAUCUUUUCUAUUGUUUUCUUCAUCUCUAUUUCAUUUAUUUCUGCUCUGAUCUUUAUGAUUUCUUUCCUUAUACUAACUUUAGGUUUUGUUUGUUCUUCUUUCUCUAGUUGCUUUAGGUGUAAGGUUAGGUUGUUUGAGAUUUUUCUUGUUUCCUGAGGUAAGAUUGUAUUGCUAUAAACUUCCCUCUUAGAACUGCUUUUACUGCAUCCCAUUGGUUUUGGAUCGUCGUAUUUUCGGUGUCAUUUGUCUCUAGGUAUGUUUUGAUUUCCUCUUGGAUUUCUUCUGUGAUCCAUUGGUUGUUUAGUGGCAUAUUGUUUCAGCCUCCACAUGUUUGUGUUUUUUACAGGUUUUUUUCCUGUAAUUGAUUUCUAAUCUCAUAGCAUUGUGGUUGGAAAAGAUGCUUGAUAUGAUUUCAAUUAUCUUAAAUUUACCAAGGCUCACUUUGUGGCCUAGCAUGUGGUCAAUCCUGGAGAAUGUUCCAUGUGCACUUGAGAAGACUGUGUAUACUGUUGCUUUUGAACAGAAUAUAAAUUAAGUCCAUCUUGUCUAAUGUGUCAUUUAAGGCCUGUGUUUCCAUAUUGAUUUUCUGUCUGGAUGAUCUCUCCAAUGAUGAAAGUCGGGUGUUAAAGUCCCACACUAUUAUUGUUACUGUUGAUUUCUUCUUUUAUGGCUGUUAAUAUUUGCCUUUUCUCCUCCCCUCACUUUCAGUUUGUAUGUGUCCCUAGAUCUGAAGUGGGUCUUUGGUAACAUAUAUAUGGGUCUUGUUUUUGUAUCCAGCCAGUCUUUGUCUUUUGGUUGGAGCAUUUAAUCCAUUUACAUUUAAGGUAAUUAUCAAUAUGUGUGUUCUUAUUGCCAUUUUGUUGAUUGUUUUGGAUUUGUUUUCCUAGUUCUUUUAUCUUCCUCUGUUGUUCUCUUGUGAUUUCAUGACUAACAUUAGUGUUGUGUUGGAUUCCUUUUUCUUGUUUGUGUAUUGUAGAUUUUGGUUUGCAGUUAUCGUGAGGUUUUGAAAUAGCAGUCUAUAUAUAAACAAGAUUGUUUUAAGUUCCUGUUCUUUUAAUUUCAAAUGCAUUUCCAAUAUUCUGCAUUUGUGCUCUCCCCUUCUCACAGUUGCUGGCUUUGAUAUCAUAUUUGUGUGUAGAUGAUUUCCUGCCUUUACUGUAUGUUUGCCUUUAUCGGUGAGGUUUUCCAUUUGUAAUUUUUUUAUUUCUAGUUGUGGCCUUUUCUUUUCCACCUAGAGAAGUUCCUUUAGCAUUUGUUGCAAAGCUGGUCUGGUGGUGCUGAAUUCUCUUAGCUUCUGCUUGUCUGUAAAGCUUUUGAUUUCUCUGUCAAAUCUGACUGAGAGCCUUGCUGGGUAGAGUAUUCUUGGUUGUAGGCUCUUCCCUUUCAUCACUUUAAAUAUACGGUGCUACUCCCUUCUGGCCUGCAGAGUUUCUGACGAACAAUCAGCUGGUAACCUUAUGGGAGGUACCUUGUAUAUUAUGUGUUAUUUUUCCCUUGUUGUUUUUAAUAUUUUUUCUUUGUCUUUAAUUUUUGUCAAUUUGAUUACUAUCUUUCUUGGUAUGUUCCUCCUUGGAUUUAUCCUGCCUGGGACUCUCUGUGCUUCCUGGACUUGGGUGACUGUUUCCUUUCCCAUGUUAGGCAAAUUUUCAGCUAUUAUCUCUUUAAAUAUUUUCUCAGGUCCUUUCUCUCCCUCUUCUCCCUCUGCGACUGCUAAAAUGCAAAUGUUGGUGCGUUUCAUGUUGCUCCAGAGGUCUCUUAGACUGUCCUCAUUUCUUUUCAUUCUUUUUUCUUUAUUCUCAUCUGUGGCAUUGAUUUCCACCAUUCUGUCUUCCAGCUUACUUACCUGUUCCUCUGUCUCAGUUAUUCUAUUGAUUCCUUCGGAUGUAUUUUUCAUUUCAGUUUUAUAUUGUUCAUCUCUGUUCUUUAGUUCUUUUAGGUUUUUGUUAAACAUUUCUUGUAUCUUCUCGAUCUGUACCUCCUUUUUCUGAGAUCUUGGAUCAUCUUUACUAUCAUUACUCUGAAUUUUUUGGGGGGGUAGACUGCCUGUCUCCACUUCACUUACUUUUUCUUCUGGGGUUUAAUCUUAUUCUUUCAUCUGGGACAUAUUCCUCUGCCAUCUCAUUUUGUCUAGCUUUCUGUGACUGCAGUUUCUGUUUCAUAGGUUGUAGUUCUUCUUGCUUCUGCUCUCUGCCCCCUGGUAGAUGAGGCUGUCUAAGAGGCCUGUGAAGGCUUCCUGGUGAGAGGGACUGGAUCCUGCCCACUGGUGGGCGGAGCUGGGUCUUGUCCCUCUGGUGGGCAGGGCCAAGUCAAGGGGGUGUGUUUAGCGGACAACUGUGCGCUCAGGAAGACUCUAAGCAGCCCACCUACUUAUGCGUGAGGCUGUGUUCCCACCUUGUUGGCCGUUUGGCGUGAGGCGUCCCAGCACUAGAUCCCACAGGCUGUUGGGUGGGGCCAGGUCCUAGUGAGAAAAUGGUGGCCUCUGGGAGGACUCGUGCCAAUGAGCACUCCUCAGAACUAUCGCUGCCAGUGUCUUUGUCCCCACAGUGAGCCACAGCCCCCCGCGUCCAUAGGAGACCCUCUGGUAUCAGCAGGUAGGUUUGGCCCAGGCUCUUAUGAGGUUACUGCUUUUUUUCUGUAUCCUGCUUUGCAUGAGACCUUGUCUACACUCUCCAAGAGUUUAGUUUCUGUUUCUCCCAGUCCUGUGGAAUUCCUGUGAACAAACCCUGCUAACCUUCAAAGCCAGAUUCUCUGGGGGCUUUUCCCAUUGCCAGACCCCAAGGCUGGGGAUACCAACGUGGGACUCAGAACUUUCACUCCUGUGGGAGAACUUCUGUGGUAUAAUUAUUUUCCAGUUUGUGGGUUGCCCACUGGUGGGCGUGGUAUUUGAUUUUAUCGCAGUUGCACCUCUCCUACCUCUCUUUGUGGCUUCUUCUUUGUCUUUGGAUGUAGGAUAUGUUUUUUGGUAGGUUCCAGCAUCUUUUUGUCAGUGGUUGUUAAGCAGUUGUGAUUUUGGUGAUUUUGUAAGAAGAGGUGAGCUCCCAUCCUUCUGCUCUGCCAUCUUGUCUCCGUCUCCUCUAAUCACUGUUUUAUACGCUACUUUCUUCCAUGUUUUAUUGGCUCCUUUUUUUCCUUUGCGCUUAGUUCAGUUUCACUUGUUCAUAGGUUGCCGGUACAGAGGCCUCUCACCCAGGACUUCAGACAAGCGUUCCUAGUGUGAAAUGGCUCUCUCAUCUCUAACUUUUUAUUUUUAACAUAUAGCUCUUUUGUUAGUGUGUGAUGACUGUAUACAUCUAUUCGUACGAGCCUGAAGUUUCUCCCACUGAAGGAUGAUCCAUGGAGACAGCAGUAGCUGUGUCUGCCCUUCCUGUUUCCCCAGGCCUGGAACGGUGCCUGCCGGUUUGAGGGUGCUCAGGUGCACAUGGCUGGAGGGGCUGAAUGGACCCAUGAGUAGUUCCCAUAUUCUAGGUGAGGAAAGCAUGCCUCAGGAAGGUUACAGAACCAUUCGGGGCUGCACUGCUGGUAAAUGAGAGAGCUCCGUUCUCACACUCAGGCCUUGCACUCGGGGCCUGAGCUCCAGCCCUUCCCUGUGGCCUCUUGAUCAUCAUCUGGUUCCAGGUUAGGACAGAACAUUGUCGGCAGGAUUCACAUUCUCUCUCUCUCGUUCCUCCACAGACGCUGUGUGUUUCUCCCCACCCCAUGGCUGCAGCCCUCACUGUUGCACGGUGGCCCUGACCCUGUCUGCCACGGCGGGAAGCUCAGCCCGGCCCCAGGCCAGUACUCUGAGCAGCUGGAAGUCGGCCCCACCAGCUCUGGGUGGCUUCGGGGGCUGCUCUGAGUGGCUUUGGGGGCUGCUCUGAGCUUCAGAGAAGAAAAUCCAUCUCCAGCGCCCUGUGUGUCUGGCUGAGGCCUUUCCUGCUUUGCAGUGGUUUGCAGGGGAGAGGACCUUUCAAGGGGGGGUGUGGACGGAUGCCAGGACUCCCUCAGCCUCAGGGAGAAGGACAUGUUUGCAGAGCUUUGAGGUCGCCUAUUUCAGCAAGUUCUGGACUGGGAUGGGGGGGCUGGGUGGGUGGGAGGGUGUCCCUGAAGGGGUGGGGUUGGCAGCACUGACAGCAUGGUCUUUGGCUCAGGGCUUCCCUAUUGGUGUUGUAAUGUCUCCCCACAGAUAAUGUCCCAGGCCUUUGGGAAACAGGUGCAUCAGGGCUGAGAGCAGAAUGUGCUGUGGAGAAAGCACAUUAAGGGAGGGAACCCUUCAGCGAUGCCCACCAGUCUCCAUUAGCAAAUGACACCCAGACCCCCAGGGUUAAUAGGCCCCUCCCCAGAGUCAGGCCUUGCCCCCAGUGACCUCACCACCUCCUGGUCAGGCCAGCUAUGCCACAGGAUACUGUGCUUAGGUGCAGAUGCAUGUGGAGACCAGGCCCCAUCACCUCCCCUCAGAGCCCAGCCCAAGAGGCAGCAAUGACCCCAUCUCCUGACAGGAGCACGGUCACCCUAGAAUAUGGCACUAAUCUCUAAGACCAGCAGCAGAUAUGAGCUGGGGACCACAGAGGGACUCCAGGGUGCCCACUAUAGAUCCCACCAAGGCUGGACACAUCUCAACUUGGAGGAUGACAAGGCCCAUGACUCCGGCCCCCCAUCCAGUGUCCGCUGUCCUCUGACAUCUUGCCCUUCCAGCGUAAUGGGAUCUGGCCCCUUUGCCCCCUGAGCUCAAAAGCAAUGGUCCCAAGAAAACUGCCAACCAUUUGUUCAUUUUUUCCACCUCCCAAGUCGUUGGGUACCUCAUAGGUACAACCCUCAGCAUCUGGGGUUCUGGAGAGGUUGGCUCCUGCCAGCGGCCCUCCUCACUCCUAGUGUUUGUUAGAGUUUCUGGGCUGGUCCUUCGCUUGCCCCAGUGCAAGGCCAUCAGCUGCCACUUGGGAAAAAGCCAAAAGCGGAAGGCACAUCUCCAGGUUCCUUAGACCCCACCUGUAUGAGAGGCCAACCUCUUGCUCUUGGUGCUUCAUCUCAGCCACCUAGAAGCCAGGUGGCUUGUCCCAGGAGAUGGCUCUGCCUGAGAUUUGGGGAGGCCCUGGGGCUGGUGGGGAAGCAGCAGCCCCAGGUCCCGAGCCCGCACUGCCUGGAGGGGCCCCUGUGGCCUGUUGCAUUGCUGAGCCGAGUUAAGCACAGAUCUCACAGCACAGAGGACCUCGCAGUGGUGCUUUUCCCAAAAGUUGUGUUGCUUUUAUCCGUUUCUAACUUAAUAAAAGAGUUAAGAAAAA